AAGUCUGAUGUGUAUAGCUUUGGAGUUUUAUUGCUAGUUCUUAUUGCUGGAAGGCGUCCGCUGCAGGUUACAAACUCGCCCAUGUCUGAAUUUCAACGUGCUAAUUUAAUACAUUGGGCUCGUCAUCUGGCACGCGCUGGAAAGCUUCUUGAUUUGGUUGAUCAGUCUGUACAGUCUUUGGAUCGAGAUCAAGCUCUUUUAUGCAUUGCUGUUGCUCUCCUCUGUUUGCAGAAGUGUCCUGCUCGCCGGCCUUCCAUGAAGGAGGUUGUAGGGAUGCUUACUGGUCAAUUAGAGCCACCUCAAUUACCGAUUGAAUGUUCUCCUUCACCUCCAUCGCGCUUCCCUUUCAAGUCUAAGUCAAAUAAGAAGGUCCGGUGAGUUUUUAACGUUGGGUGCCAAUAUCAAUGAACAGUAGUAUGUUUCUAUAGAUCAUUGUUUGAUCAUCUUUGUGGAUGAUACAUGUAAAGGAAUAUAUUUAUAUAAACAUGAAA
rnacentral:misc_RNA from 1 species